AUACGGAGGGUGCAAACGUUGCUCGGAAUUAUUGGGCGUAAAGCGCGCGUAGGCGGCUUGAUAAGUCGGAUGUGAAAGCCCUCGGCUCAACCGGGGAAGUGCAUUCGAAACUGUCAAGCUUGAGUAUGGGAGAGGAUUGCGGAAUUCCCGGUGUAGAGGUGAAAUUCGUAGAUAUCGGGAGGAACACCAGCGGCGAAGGCGGCAAUCUGGACCAAUACUGACGCUGAGGUGCGAAAGCGUGGGGAGCAAACAGGAUUAGAAACCCCAGUAGUCC
rnacentral:rRNA from 1 species